rnacentral:rRNA from 1 species
AUGCAUUUGCAGAUCCAGAGGUUCUCGCUGUACAAGCAGAUCGAGCUGUUCCAGGGGACGCGGGCCUUCAUGCGGGAGAAGAUCGGGCGGGCGGCGGCGGACAAGCUGUUCGGCGAGGCAUACUACGUGGUGGCCAUGGGCGCCAACGACUUCAUCAACAACUAA